CCUACGGGGGGCUGCAGUGAGGAAUAUUGGUCAAUGGGAGCAAUCCUGAACCAGCAAUGCCGCGUGUGGGAUGAAGGCGCUUCGCGUCGUAAACCACUGUCGGACGGGACGAAAGGAGCUAUGAAGCUCUAGGACGGUACCGUCAAAGGAAGGAUCGGCUAACUACGUGCCAGCAGCCGCGGUAAUACGUAGGAUCCAAGCGUUGUCCGGAUUUACUGGGUAUAAAGGGUGCGUAGGCGGCCUUGUGCGUCAGAGGUGAAAUCUCCGGGCUUAAC
rnacentral:rRNA from 1 species